GAGAACCUGCGAGUCAGAGGGAAGAGCUGUCUGUUCUCCUGCAGGAUGGUGUCCUUCACGGCAUGAAACACGAAGCGGAUGUUCUCGGUGUCUAUGGCAGUGGUGAAGUGGUGGAACAGAGGCUUGCCGCGGUUCCUGCGCUUCCUGUCAAAGCACUGGACCAGCAGGUCCAUCUUGUUGAGGAAGAGGAUGAUGGAGACGUUGAAGAAGAGCUUGUUGUUGACGAUGGUCUCGAAGAUGUUCAUGGACUCCACCAGCCGGUUGGUGCGCCUAUCCUCCAUGAGGACCUGGUCAUACUCGCUUGAGGACACCAUGAACAGGAUCGAUGUGAUCCCGUCGAAGCACUGGAACCACUUCUGGCGCUGCGACCUCUGGCCGCCCACAUCCACCAUCUUAAAUGGGAUUUUCUUUAUCACGAAGUCAUGCUCCACGAUUCCCUUGGUGGCCUUUCUAGCCAACAGGAUGUCUUGCUUACUGGGGAAGUAGUUCUGGAAAACAUGAGGAAGGGAGACAUUUGGGAAGGAAGGGAAACAGGGAGGGAUGAGCACAGGAGGGCUGGCAGAAAGACAGGCAGCAGGGCAAAGACACAGGGACUUCUGCAAGAACAUUUAACCAAAAUCCAUCCUCAACAAAGUAACAGGAUCGAACACUUCGUUUCCUAAGGACUCCAGGCCCUCUGGCUCACCACAGAGCGAACGGCCAGAGCCUUCAGCUGGAAAUGUAACAUCUCAUCUAGCCUUCUUCACUACAAGUAAUUAAAAAUCUUUUUCAUUUGUUUCUAC
rnacentral:lncRNA from 1 species